AACGCGAAGAACCUUACCUACCCUUGACAUGGUCGGAAUUCUGCUGAGAGGCGGAAGUGCUCGAAAGAGAACCGACACACAGGUGCUGCAUGGCUGUCGUCAGCUCGUGUCGUGAGAUGUUGGGUUAAGUCCCGCAACGAGCGCAACCCUUGUCAUUAGUUGCUACGAAAGGGCACUCUAAUGAGACUGCCGGUGACAAACCGGAGGAAGGUGGGGAUGACGUCAAGUCCUCAUGGCCCUUAUGGGUAGGGCUUCACACGUCAUACAAUGGUACAUACAGAGGGCCGCCAACCCGCGAGGGGGAGCUAAUCCCAGAAAGUGUAUCGUAGUCCGGAUUGUAGUCUGCAACUCGACUACAUGAAGUUGGAAUCGCUAGUAAUCGCGGAUCAGCAUGUCGCGGUGAAUACGUUCCCGGGCCUUGUA
rnacentral:rRNA from 1 species